rnacentral:lncRNA from 1 species
GAUCGACUUUGGCCAUCUGUCUGAUUGGUAAUGUGAUCGUGGUGCCAGCAGAGGAUGAAGUUCCGCCUAAAUAGAAAAAAGGCUUCUGAAGAAGAUGAGGAUGCAGAUGAUCUUUUGUCGAAUGCAAGCGACCAGAGCGAGAGGAGAUUGAUAACAUGUCCGUGUCUGGGCAUCUUCCUAUCGAGGAAUUUGACUAUUAUGAUCUCGAUGGAAGUGCUGAUAAGGACUAUGGCACUUGCAAUUGGUAGUGAUAGAGAGAGAGAGAUCCUUCACCCAUGUGGACAUGGUAAUGAUGACGAGGGUGGUUUGGAUGCAUGAUAUGGUGUGGUGAUGAUUUUGAUGACGUAGUAGUGUUGCGAUGGUGGUGGCACCGACCAAUGAUGACAACGGUGAUGAUGAUCAAUCCAAUAUAAUUGGCAAGU